GAUGAAGAACGUAGCGAAAUGCGAUAAGUAGUGUGAAUUGCAGAAUUCAGUGAAUCAUCGAAUCUUUGAACGCACAUUGCGCCCUGUGGUAUUCCGCAGGGCAUGCCUGUCCGAGCGUCAUUGACACCCUCAAGCUCUGCUUGGUCUUGGGCGUUUGUGCCUGCCGUUGCGCAGGGACUCGCCUCAAACUCAUUGGCAGCCUGCCUUUGCCGGUCUUUGCACAGCACAGUCGUGCCAAAGCCGCGGUGAGCAGGCGCUCCACAAGCCCUUUUCAGCUUGACCUCGGAUCAGGUAGGAAUACCCGCUGAACUUAAGCAUAUCAAUAAGCGGAGGA
rnacentral:misc_RNA from 1 species